GACGAACGCUGGCGGCGUGCUUAACACAUGCAAGUCGAACGGGCCCGCCCCUGUUUUUGGGGGUGGGUUGAGUGGCGAACGGGUGAGUAUCACGUGAGUAACCUGCCCCCUGCUCCUGGAUAACUGCUUGAAAGGGCGGCUAAUACGGGGUGUGCCGGCUGGUCCGCAUGGGCCUGGUCGGGAUAGUUUCAUCUUCGGGUGUUUCGGUGGGGGAUGGGCUCGCGGCCUAUCAGCUUGUUGGUGGGGUGAUGGCCCACCAAGGCGGUGACGGGUAGCCGGCCUGAGAGGGUGGGCGGCCACACUGGGACUGAGACACGGCCCAGACUCCUGCGGGAGGCAGCGGUGGGGGGUAUUGCACAAUGGGCGGAAGCCUGAUGCAGCGACGUCGCGUGAGGGAUGGAGGCCUUCGGGUUGUGAACCUCUUUCUCCGGUGGUGAAGGCCCUGUCCGUUGCGGCGGGGUUGACGGUAGCCGGGUAUGAAGCGCCGGCUAACUACGUG
rnacentral:rRNA from 1 species